rnacentral:tRNA from 10 species
GCUGGCAUCCCAGGGUGACUUCACCAUGGGCUGUCAUCGCUGAGGCCAUAAAAAGCCAAAAGCACUACCCUUGAGUCAUCCUAGCCCCUUGGAGCCAAAAACGUAGCAACGUCACGUCUGUAGUUGACCUCGGUUCCGGGCACCUUCCUGAGCAUUCUUCGGGAGGCACUUGUGAAACUCAGCCCAGGUGCUGCCCAGGAUCAGGAGGCUGAGACGUGAUCUGGAAGUGAGUGCCCAUCCAUACACCUUCCCCAGCUUUGGGGCCACAGAGGGACAGAAACCGCAGGCAGGCUGGCCUGGGAAUGAACCUACACCAGCCUGAAGUCAGAAGAGCCUCUAGGAGCCUCCAGCCUGGACUCUUUUUACAGAUGGGGAAACUGAGUCCCAGAGAGGGAGCAAUGAAGGAUGUCUAAGGUCAUCAGCAACGUAAAGCCAACAGCAUCAUCCUGAGUCAUGUUUGAACCUGAGGGAAAGAAACAUAUGUUCGAAGAGGUUCUGAGGCUGCUGCACCCGAUAUCAUACCUGGUUGGCCCUGGGAAAGGGCCCACCUCCAAUACAUAAACACAACCAGCUUUGACAGUGAGCCCUGAAGCAUGGCAUUGAGAAGCUGCCUAAGAAGGAGGCAGAUCCAUCAGCCUGGGUGCCCGACUGAUUACCCUGAGCAGAGCUCCCCAGCCCACCUGUGAUGGACGCAUGGAGCUUGAGCAAGGAAUAAAUAUUCGUUGCUGGACUCUGAUUACACUGGACCUAUCCAAGAUCUGAGAUCAUCAACUCAUCUCAAAAUCCUUAAGCUGACCACAGCAGCAUCGUCCCUUUUGCAGUGUAAGGGAGCCCAGCUGGGACAAUGUGUGAAUCAACGCAUGAAGGAGUGAGUGAGCAGCUAACCAAAUGAAAGAAUACUCAGAUAUCUGGGGUACAGUUCCCCUCCAGGUUUGCACAGCAUCUGCUGAAGUCUCCACUAGAAACUCAAUGGAAGGUCCCCACCGGAAACUGAAAGUCUCCUAGAGUGGCUUUGAGUUGCGGUUUCACCCUCCCUGCAGAUCCACAGUUUCCAUCCAGCUGUUUGGCAUUGGAUACUGCUGCCUCUGCUUGACUUGAGAAUGUGUGAGAAAAGCUGUGUUUAGACAACUGAAAACCAUGAGCUUGAAAGUAGUGGGGGCACACUCUUGGAGACUCCAGUUGCUCACCAGCUUGGACAAACCACUGGACUCAAAUGAUCAGGUAGAAAUUCAUCACUGGAGAGAACACAGUGGAAUGGCUUCAGCGAAAACUCACUCUGAAGGUCUUCAGGGCAACUUUAAGACUUGCCCCUGGCCGGGCACAGUGGCUUAUGCCUAUAAUCCCAGCACUUUGGGAGGCCGAGGCGGGUGGAUCACCUGAGGUCAGGAGUUCAAGACCAGCCUGGCCAAUAUGGCGAAACCCUGUCUCUACUAAAAAUCCAAAAAAUUAGCCGGGCGUGGUCGUGGGCGCCUGUAAUCCCAGCAACUCGAGAGGCUGAGGCAGGAGAAUUGCCUGAACCCGGGAGGCAGAGUUUGAAGACAGCCGAGAUUGCACCACUGGGCAACAAGAGCAAAACUCCAUCUCAAAAAAAAAAAAAAAAAAAAAAAUACUUGCCCCGGCUUUUUGUGUGAUGGACUUUCUAUUUACAGACGUGAUAUUUAUCUAUGACUUUACUCAGAGUCUGGCUCAUAGACCAGAAGGACUGGUAUCUCCUGGAGCUUGCAGGAAAUGCAAAAUCUCAAACCCCUGUAUUAGUCAGGGUUCUCCAGAGAAGUAGAGCCAAUGGGAUAGAGACAGGGAUAGGGAUGAUAGAGAUGGAGAUAGAGGUAGAGAUCCAUUGAUUCCUCUGUUAAUAAAUUGGCUCAUGCAGUUGUGACAAUUUCGAAAUCUGCAAGGUAUGUCAGCAAGCUGGAGACCCAGGGAACAGUUGAUGUUGCACCUUGAGUACAAAGGCAGUGUGUCUGGAGCCAUAAUAUCUUCUUGUUAGGAAGACUUUGGUCUUUUCUCUUCUGGCCUUCAACUGCUUGGGUGAGGCCCGUCCCCACUACAGAAGACAAUAGUCUGUUCUACUCAGAGUCUACUGAUUUAAAUGCUCAUCUCAUCCCAAAAAAUACCCUCACAGCAACAUUUAGCCUGUGCAUUUGACCAAACAACUGGGUACCAUGCCCCCCCUCCCAAGUUGACACACAAAAUUGACCAUCAUACCCUCCCCACCCCCAGUCUUACUGAAUGAGAGAGAAUCUGUGCUUCAACAAGAUCCCCAGAAGAGGUAUAAGCGCAGGGAAGUCUGAGAAGCACCACCUUUGAGGCUUAUCCAGGAUGCCCACAUGAGCCUUCUCUGGAUAUGUCAGAUCCCCUUCCUGGCCCCCUAGACACCUCCUCCACUCCCCAAACUUGGAAGCAACAUUGUGGGGAAGCAGGCAGUGAGGCGCUCAGUCUACCACGUUGUGAGAUACACAGCUCCAUCUGUGUAUCAUGAUUUGAUCCAAGGGAAAACAAAAGAUCCAGAAACAUAAGUACUUUUUUGUGAGCUCUCAAAAACUUCCUGUGACAAGAUCAGGUCGUUGAUGCGAGAGCCACACUUGUUUCUUUUUCCUCUUUAUUCUCCACCUCUGACAUAAUACUUAGCAUAAAAAAAAAUCCAAUAAACACCACUGAAUCAAUUAUCUAAGCCUCAGUUUCCCUCUUGUAAUAUGUACUUACCUGGUUGUGGUAGGAAAGACACCAGGCAUGAGAAACACUUAAAAGCCCAGGACCCUGAGCUGGGCACAUGGUAGGUACUCAGGAAGUCAUUGCCGAGUGUUCAGUGCAUGCUUGUUGAAUGAGUAAAUGAGGUCAGGCUUCAGCAUGCAAACACUCGCUAUAAAGCAGGAACCCUGUGCCCUGAGUGCACAAAAUAGAUAUCGAGAAGGAACACAGGCUCAGACAUCAGUGCCAUAUCUGAAGACAUUCAGCUAAUAACAGGAUGGAGUCCAAUCUGCUGGUGUGUGCACACCUGUGCCUGGGUGUCUUUGCUGGUGUGUGCACAUGUGUCUACAUGUGUGGUCGUGAGAGUACACACAGGGGCUGGAGGGUGGGGAAGGGCUUAAUCUAAUCCUGAAAGUGCCAGCAGAACUCUUGGGUGUCCCUCAAAGUCAAGCUUCUUUCCAGGUCAUCGAAGUUUUCACUUGGGUAAUAAUGCACGCAUAAUUAACUGAACAAAUAUAAUGAAUCUAUCUGUAGUGACAUGAUAGUUGGUGCUGAAUCCUAUUAGAGCACAUUUAAUUAAAAAUGCAUUAAACCUUCAAGCUUCUAAACACACCCUGCGCUUCUUCAAAGCCGCCCCUCCGUUAAAGUCUUCCCCACUAUUAACUAUGAGUCAGCCUGUGACCCUUUGGGCAUGACGGGGUGAGGUGAAGUGGCUCUUAAAUGCCUGUGCCAGUAUAUCACAGGCACUAAUGGAUUUAAAUCAGGGAGAUUAAUUCCAUUCAUUCGGCUCCUCAUUUCAGAAACAACUGUCACGCUGAGCCUAAUUGCUGAAGAUGGUUGAAGGCACCAGGAGGCUGGAGUUUCCUGGAGGUGGUUUGUGGCCAACCGUCAAUUACUUGGGCUGCUGUGCAGUGGGGAUAGAAGGAUGAUUAGAAUCCACAGACAACCCAUUGGCCUUUGUUUACCAUUAACUUCUGUUUUCUCCACCAGCCAAGCUCCUCCAGACCCAGGAGAUGGCUCUUCCCUCUGUGUAGCACACUCUUUCCAGUCAAGGGGUCUUGCACUGCUAUUUCCCCUUCUGCUUUGCUUGGUUCAUUCUUACUGACCCUCCAAAUACUGAAGGAAUGAAUGGAGAAAUAAGUAAAUGAGAGAUGUGGCCAAGAGUCUCCAAGAGAGGAAAUUAAAAAAUCCUAUACCUGUGAGGAACUGGCCCACUUGCAAAAGGCGGACUCAUUUGUCACUGUGUUUGCUGGCUGCUCGCACCACACAGUUUCCAGCCUAGGCAUUAUUUCCAACCUCUUUUUCCAAAGGGUCUUUCUAAGGUACAGAAAAUGGACAUAAAAUCGCCCAACGUAGUUGAGAGGUAAGGAGUAAAAGCCGGAAUUUGAACUCCUAAUCUCCUGCCACGAUUUCAUGCUGCCUCUGGGUAAUCUCCCAGCACGUUGCUUAAUCAGCUGCUGAGUCAUUGAGAGCCGGCAGAACCAGCUUCCUGCUGAGGCAGAGUGGGAGGAGGCCCGUCUGGGAGCAGCACACUGAAGGAAGGGAGGAGGAGGUGAUGUUUGGCACAAUCGGAUUGGUUCCCAUGAGGUCCAGGGCUGCGGCUCCUACAGAAGGCACUUUUUGCAUAUGGUAGGCUUCACGGGGUGCAACCUCUGUGUUGUUAGGAGAACCUCGUGCUUGCUAUGAUGCUCUGCUGUCAUUAUCUUGAAAUUCUUAGUCACAUUAAAACACGGGAGCCUACAUGUUUAUUUUGCACUGGAUCCUGCAAAUUAGCCAGUCCUGGUACUGAGGGCAGGUCCCUGGGUGAGUCUCACACAGCCUCCAUCCUUUGGUAAAGCAGCUUUCCUGAUUUAGCAAAUGCCUUACCAGAAAGCCUUUUCCUUGAAGAUGCUUUAACUUUUGUCUUCCCUGGCAAAGCUGUUUCCUUAUGGUAAAGCACCCAGCUCAUAGCUGAUAUUCAAUCCAUGAAGUAGCUCUGUCAGCAGCUGUCAUCAUGAAGACUUUGCAGCCUGCGGGUGGUAGCAUUCUGAAUCGUCAGUCUGUCUCGCUCCUGUAGCAAAUGCACGAUCCGGGAAAGCAUGUCCCAAGCUUUGUUCUGGAGAAGAUUUCUCCAGCUAUCAGAUGGUGUCUGUCAUCACAAUAGCUUAGGAGAUGCUGCUCACUCCAUCCUCCUCACUAAGUGUCACAGUACACUUGGGUAUGUACAAGUCUCUGAGAAGUCCAGCAGCAAAGACACCUUUGUGUUUUGCUGAUUCUAGCCUUUCCUAGACUAGAAGUCUUUUUUUCUAGUCUAGGAAAAGACUGUGGAAUCUUUUCUUUUUUUUCCUGAUACACACAUUCACAUUCCGUGGAACAUUUAGGACGUGGUUAUCUGGUCCUAAAGUAGUAAAGGUGAAGAUGUUGUGGGAGGUGCAAGAAAGAGCAGCAAGGAGUAGAUGGGGCACACUGCAAAGUGCGAUCCCCACAUACCUAAGUUAGUAUCAAUUACUACUAACAAAACUCGGCCAAGACUCUUUUGCAUUCGUUUUGUUUCUCUCUUUUACCCUGAUUAUAUUAAGAAAUAUGACAGGCCUGUGACUCACUGAUUAGACCAUCUUAGUCACUUUGGGUUGUCCCAGCAACAGGAGACUUAACUCUGACCAUAGGUAAGGAGCCCAGAGGACAGGAGAGCAGGGAUUUCUGAGGAUUUAACAAAUGCUUAUAAACAAAUGAUAUCACUUUGAACAAAGUAAUCAAAGUAUCAAAUGCUAUAAACACCACAGUAGGGCAAUGUGUGAAUCAUACUUGUGGUGAGACAUACAUAGAUCAGCUGCAAAGAGGAACUCAAUUCUGCAGAACCUCAGCUGGAGUAACUGAUGUGAAACAUGGACAGGGAAAUGGAAGGAAGUCAGCGGACACGGAAACUCUAGGAACUGAACUUUGACAAGGAACGCCGUCCAUAAUCCCAAGUCCUAUGACUUCAUAGAGGAAAAAAACCCUAGUGGAGCAGAACAGGGCCUCAUAGAGGGGCUGGGGCCUCACUGAGGGCUGGGAAGUUUGAUAGGACUUCCCUUGCUGGUAAGGAACAAAACUGGGUCUCAGGUUCAGGUUUGUAAAGCUAAUUUCAUACAUUUGCAGCAGAUGCUGUCAGUGUCCCUCCCCAAGCCCCUCAGCACUCAGCAUUCAUAGACAUCCUCAUCUUGCAAGCACCUGAGUCUCUCUCUGUAAGGUUUCUGUUGGCCUCAGGGCAGACCAGGGUACCAGGGAGGGCAGACCAGGGUACCAGGGAGCACAGCCCUCAAAGAAAGAUGACAGGAGUUGGUGUAAAUCUCAUGGCUUUCAUGUUACUUAGGGGGACCAAUGCUGAGGCAUGCUUAGCAUGAUCCUCUGUGAGACUGGGCCUCAGGUGUCCGCUGCAGCCGCCUGUUCAUUAGUGUGACAUGCACGGGAUUCCUUCCGUAUCCUGGCCCCUUUCUCUACUUCCCAACCGUGCUUCCUGAGACAUACUCAAAUCCUUGUCUCACACUUGGCUUCUGGGAGAAUCCAACUGCAAAUGCUGUGUUUUAUUUUUUAUUUAUGUAUUUAAUUAUUUGGAGAUAGGGUCUCCCUCUGUCACCCAGGCUGGAGUAAAAUGGCACAAUCCUAGCUCACUGCAAUAUUAAACUCCUGGGCUCCAGUAAUCCUCAGCCUCCAGGAGCUGGAACUACAGUCGUGCACAGCAAUGCCAGCUAAAGUUUCCUUUAAAUUUUUUGUAGAGUCAAGAUCUCACUAUUUCAGUCAGGUCUUGAACUCCUUGCCUCCCAAAGUUCUGGGAUUACAGCACUUGGCCUCCCAAAGUGCUGGGAUUACAGGCGUGAGCCACUGCAUCUGGCUGUUUAUUCCAUUAAAAUGAUUGAAGGAGUCUCUUGCUUUGGGAAUUUUGCUCCCGUGGUGAGAACACUAUGGGAAUGACAUCUCAAGAAUAUGGCUCCUUCAAAUGAAUUUAAAAUGGUCUUUCUAUUUUUGUCCAGUGGUUACAAUAGCUGAUGGGCUCGAGGUAAGGAGAUGCUAAGCUGCCAUUCUCUCCUUCAACCCAUGGCAUUUACUGAGCUUCUAAAUCAGUCAGGCCCUGGGCUGGACCCUGGGCAUGCAGACUGAAUCAGAGCCUUCAGGACUAGCAGGAGAGACAGGUAUAUAUAGUGGCAAGGGCAAUAUUUAUUCACUCAUUCAUUCUUUUUCCUUUUUUAUGUGCCAAAUCUUUAAUGAGGGCCUACCUUGUACUCAGGAACACCAGGAAUAAACAGAAAACAAAAAGAUAUCAUUUCUGGACUCAGUUCACCAUCUAGAGAAAAAAAAAAAAAAAAAAAAAGACCUGAAAUGGACAAAUACAGUACUGUUUGACAAAUGUCACGUAAGAAGAAGCCCAUGAUACUGAGGAUGGUAUAGGAGGGGCCGUAUCCAGGUUGAAGGAGUCAAAUAUGACAGCUGCCGUGAGAAUUACAAUCAGAAAACCAUGACCCGGAUGCUUAUCCUAUUCAUUGCUUGAGCCUGAGAACACAAACACACAGGGUGUGGCUGAAAUUCCUCUGAAAUUGUAUUGAUUUGAGAAAACUGCAAUCUUGUGUUAAAAUGUGAAUCAUACACAAGGAUGCAAAACAGUUACCGCUGACCAUAAAUCUAGGCUAUCAGAAUGGAAUCUGAUGGCUUGUCUACCAGACUGCAUUGUGAAACCAAUCAAAUGGGAGAUAGACUCACCACUUACCAAGUACCUCUGAGACACCAGGCACCCUGUGGGGUGCCCUACUCAUCAUCUUGUUUAACCAGUUGAUUGGGAAUAGCUCCAUUUUACAGAGAAAGACUGUUAGGCAGCUUUCUAAGAUGGCCCUAAUUAUUCCUUCCUUCUGGUAAUCCCCUUCCUUUAAAUGUGGGCUACACUUAAUUACCUGCUUUUAACAAACAGAAUAUAGCAAAAGUGAUGGGAUGUCAGGAGACUGAAUCAGUAACCAAAAACCUCCAGACAAAGAAAAGCCCAGGGCCAGAGGGCUUCACUGGUAAAUUUACCAAACAUUUAAAGAAGAAUUAGCACCAGUCUUUCUCAAACUCCUCAACAAAUUGAAGAGGAGAGAACACUUCUAAAUACACUUUAUGAGGCCAGCAUUACCCUAACAUCAGAGCCAGACAAAGACACAAGAAAAGAAAACUACAGACUAAUAUUUCUAAUGAAUCUUGAUGCACAAAUCCUCAAAAAAGAAGAAAACAUACUAGCAAACAUAAUUCAGCCGCACAUUAAAAGGAUUAAGCACCAUGACAAAGUGGGAUUUAUUCUUAGUAUAAAAGGAUAUUUCAACGUAAAAAAGUCAAUGUAAUAUAUCACAUUAAUAGAAUGAUGAGAAAAAAUCCACAAGAUUAUCCCAAUUGAUGCAUUUAACAAAACUUAAUACUCUUUCAUGAAAAAACACUCAACAAACCAGGAAUACAUGAAACUACCCCAACAUAAGACAGUCCACAAAUGAAAAGCUCACAACCAACAUAAUACUCAUGGUGAAAAGCUGAAAGCUUCCUCUAAGAUCAGGAAUGAGACAAAAAUGUCCACUUUUGAAUCAACCUGUAUUCAACAUAGUAUAAGAAGUCCUCGCCAGAAUUUUCAGGAAAAAAAAAAAAGAAAGAAAAAAAAGCCAGUCAAAUUGAAAAGAAAGAAGAAAAAUUAUCUUUGCUCACAAAUGACAUGAACUUAUAAAACUCCUAGAAUUAAUAAAUGGAUGCUGCAAUGUUGAAGGAUACAAAAAUCAACACACAAAAAUCAGUUAUGUUUUUAUAUACUAACAAUGAAUGAGCCAAAAAUGAAAUUAAAACAAUUCCAUUUACAAUAGCAUCAGAAAGACUAAAAUACCUAACAAUAAACUUAACCAAGGAGGUAAAAUGCUUGAGUAUUUAGACACUAAAAAUUAUAAGGCCUGCACGGUGGUUCAUACCUGUAAUCCCAGCAUUUUGGGAGGCAGGUGGAUCACUUGAGGUUAGGAGUUUGAGACCAGCCUGGCC